CUAGUCUUGGAACAGUACUAUCCAAAAAAGAGUGGAUUAUCAAUCUCAACGUUUAAAAGUUUCAAUCAAAGGGAAAUGAGAGAAAUUCAAAGACUUAUCUAGAAACACACAAUCAAAGGAUGAACACAAAUUUGGGAGAGUAGAGGGACUUACCCCAUAAACAAUUUCUUUGUCGAAGUCAGACUCAAAGAUGAAUUGGACGACGAAGAAGGGGCUAUGAUGGAGCCAAGGACGUGGCGGGUUACAUUGAUUGUUGGGUUCACUGCAUUUCUUCCCCUAGCAAUCAAGUCAAUUUCGGCAAUUCAUUUGAAACAUCCCCACAAAUUGGGUCACUUAGCUCGUGGCCGCUUCUGACCGGACCCACCGAUGGUAUUGUCGAGGGCCUCGCUAUUCAAUGCUCUCAGAAAAGUGCUUGAUCUCAUCUUGGUGGGUCCAAAGCACGAAGAAUUUAGAAGGGUUUCGGACCCGAUUCUGUCAAAAUCAAGGAUGGAUCUCUUCCAACUGCCUCAUGUUGAACACAAGGGUAAUGGGAUUGAUCUUCAGUCUCAGGUACAGUAAUAUGUUUAUGAGCUUUUCUACAUAAAAGUGGCAAUUCAAGCAUUGUUUUUAUGCAUUUUGGUCAAGAAAAUGCUCCCAUUAAGGUUUAUACACUCUAGACAGAGUCUUGUUGCUGCCUGUU